CACCGCCCGUCGCUCCUACCGAUUGAAUGGUCCGGUGAAGUGUUCGGAUCGCGGCGACGGGGGCGGUUCGCCGCCCCCGACGUCGCGAGAAAUCCAUUGAACCUUAUCAUUUAGAGGAAGGAGAAGUCGUAACAAGGUUUCCGUAGGUGAACCUGCGGAAG
rnacentral:rRNA from 1 species